AUCCCAGUAGUGCAAUGUAUAGCGCGUUGGACUUGUAAUCCACAGGUCAUGGGAUUGUAACCCAUCUAGGAUG